AUCAAACAUAUACAGUAUUGCGCCUGUAUUUAUUUUCUUGUCAAAAAUCUUUGUCAAUACAAAUGCAUGUUAUAAAUUGUUCCUCUCAUUUGGCCGUUCUUUUCCAAACCCAAAACUUUAUCUCCCCCCCCUCCUCUGCUUUCCUUCCCCAAGAAUUUGGAUUCUCGUCAGAUCUCCAGGAAGGGGAUUUGGCGAGGAUCCUAAUCCCUUCCCCAUAAACCAUCCAUACCCCAUCCUUUGCUCUGAUAUGCAGACUCCGCACCAAAUAUGUUUGCCAAAUUUAUUUCCCUCCCUCGCUGUACCCCCAAAACGGCAUGCUAGAUUUCCCCUGAGGCCAAGUGUACUGCAGCUUUGGCCAAAGUAAAGGUUUGGCACUUUUGUGCUGCGAUGUCUUGUUCGUUUUCACCACUCGGUUAUUUUCUCUAGUGUUGCUGCUUCGGUAUCUGCUGGCAAGGCUUUUGUGGCAGUGACAGCGGCGGACGCUACUUUCUGCAGUCGGAAAUUAGAGAUUUGGGCUUCUGUUUUAGUUCAUUUUAUUGAGUUGGGUUUUAUGUAUCUGUUUCCAUCCAAUGUAUUUGAUUUAUUUUGCUUUCCUGUUGGCCUGUAAAUUUCUAUCGGAUUAAUGCAAUUUUUUUAGACCAAAAAAAAAAAAUAAUAAUAAAUUUACUUGAAAGAUCCUUUCAAGUCAAAAACAA